UUCAACGAUCUUGACGAACUCUCAGCAGUCUACGGCACUCUGGAUAAACUCCAUCAAAUGACAACCUUUGAUAACACGUUUAAGUGUAUCCGUGAAACGUCGUGAUAGGAGCGUCCCGACGCGUCGCCGGGGCGACACUGAGCGUCGCGCGAUACCGGCGUUCGUAUACGAACCAAGCAAAAUCACCUCACCGUGACCAGAGUCUGCGCGUCUUACAAGCAGAAUUAUUUUUCUCGCGUGACUGUACAUACACUACAAGUUCGAUUAAAUAUAUCGAAGCGUACAAAGCCAUUCGAUAUCGAGACUCCAAUGGUUAAUGAGUAUAACGAAAUAGCUAUGGAAAGUAAUGGAAAUAAAAAACAGAGUGAACUCCUCGUGAUUGGUAUUAUGAAUUUAUUGAUUGGACAUCAGUCGAUAAAAUAAUAAGCUGCCCAUAAGUCCACGACUUAUUGAAAAGGAUUACGUGCGUACAGCGUAAGAGGGCUGAAUAGUUACGAGUGCCGCCGUCUCCUGGUGAAUUGCACAGCUCGGAAUCAGGUACCCACCCGAAUGCCUCACGACGACGAUUAUGCACGUGGUCACGUCGUCCGAGCCCAGGAUGCUCACGUUCUCUGCAAAAGACGAAAAAGAAGAGUAAGUCUACUGUUACUUCAUGAUAGCGACCUGGGUCAUCUGUCUGAACUUGGACCGGGACAAUUUUAGUGCACCAGCCAAGAAGGAGCUCUAUCGAUAACCCUUUAUCGAAGAGAGAUCGAAGAUUCGAUUCGAGAGCAUCGAGAGCAACAAACAGCAAUAGAGCAACUGUCUUUUGUUGGGUUUACAAUAAAGUCGUCAGGGUUUUAUCUAACUGCAGGAUCUAGCAGGCAUUAUGAGAAGUCGAGUUACAAGAUCGAAGAUCAGUCCCAUUGUUAGUUCUCCGGGCAACGUGCAUUGUGUCGCGACUCUCGCGACUUUGUGGAUGGCAGACGCUGUACGUCACAACGGAAUUCUCUCUGAGGUUACCACCCAUUUCUAAGGAAGUCUACCAAAGGGGUUAUCCUCAUAUCCGAUUCUCAUGAAAAUUCUAACAGCUCCCGGUGCUAUUCCUAUACGGCUACUACCGACUGAAACCGCCUUCGAAAUGUCUGAGGUCGAUGAAUUUUCGUAUAUCGUUUUCGAAAUUUCUUUCCACGUAACGACCCUGGAUUUUCAGUGAAGAAUUUCCCAUGUAAACUAUAAGCAUCGAUUACUUCGCAGACUUACUCGUCUCGGUUUACUUUUAUUUCAAUUGGCGCUACCAGCGUAACAUGGCCUUCGCACAGGGUUAAAAUAGCUCGUGAGCCAACGGCAGGAUAUGACGUUGCGAAUUCUCAAAUUCUGAAAUUCACAUUGCGCACGCAAUUAUGCGCACUUCGGGAAACUUCGGAUCGAGAUGAGGGAAUUGUGCACAAUUUUUGUUGUAUAUUUAUCUUAAUUUAUGUCGGUCUUCUUUUUUCGUUUACGAUUACGGUAAGUACUAUAACCUAGCGGAAAAUCGGGAUUUCACGAUUAUCUAUACUGCACGGCACUAGUGCGAAAAUGUGAAU